GAUGAAUGCUGGCGGCGCGCCUAACACAUGCAAGUCGAGCGGAAAGGCCCUUCGGGGUACUCGAGCGGCGGACGGCUGAGUAACGCGUGGGAACAUGCCCCAAAGUGAGGAAUAACUGCCCGAAAGGGUAGCUAAUGCCGCAUAUGAUCUUCGGAUUAAAGGAUUUAUCCGCUUUGGGAGUGGCCCGCGUACGAUUAGGUAGUUGGUGAGGUAAAGGCUAACCAAGCCUACGAUCGUUAACUGGUCUGAGAGGAUGAUCAGUCAGACUGGAACUGAGACACGGUCCAGACUCCUACGGGAGGCAGCAGUGAGGAAUCUUCCACAAUGGGCGAAAGCCUGAUGGAGCGACGCCGCGCGCAGGAUGAAGGCCUUCGGGUUGUAAACUGCUUUUAUAAGUGAAGAAUAUGACGGUAACUUAUGAAUAAGCACCGGCUAACUACCUGCCAGCCGCCGCUGUA
rnacentral:rRNA from 1 species